rnacentral:rRNA from 1 species
ACGUACACUCCUGCGGGAGGCAGCAGUGGGGAAUAUUGCACAAUGGGCGCAAGCCUGAUGCAGCCAUGCCGCGUGUAUGAAGAAGGCCUUCGGGUUGUAAAGUACUUUCAGCGGGGAGGAAGGCGAUAAGGUUAAUAACCUUGUCGAUUGACGUUACCCGCAGAAGAAGCACCGGCUAACUCCGUGCCAGCAGCCGCGGUAAUACGGAGGGUGCAAGCGUUAAUCGGAAUUACUGGGCGUAAAGCGCACGCAGGCGGUCUGUCAAGUCGGAUGUGAAAUCCCCGGGCUCAACCUGGGAACUGCAUUCGAAACUGGCAGGCUAGAGUCUUGUAGAGGGGGGUAGAAUUCCAGGUGUAGCGGUGAAAUGCGUAGAGAUCUGGAGGAAUACCGGUGGCGAAGGCGGCCCCCUGGACAAAGACUGACGCUCAGGUGCGAAAGCGUGGGGAGCAAACAGGAUUAGAAACCCCAGUAGUCCCA